GGGGAAUCUUCCGCAAUGGGCGAAAGCCUGACGGAGCAACGCCGCGUGAGGGAUGAAGGCCUCUGGGCUGUAAACCUCUUUUAUCAAGGAAGAAGAUCUGACGGUACUUGAUGAAUAAGCCACGGCUAAUUCCGUGCCAGCAGCCGCGGUAAUACGGGAGUGGCAAGCGUUAUCCGGAAUUAUUGGGCGUAAAGCGUCCGCAGGCGGUCUUACAAGUCUGUCGUUAAAGCGUGGAGCUUAACUCCAUUUCAGCGAUGGAAACUGUAAGACUAGAGUGUGGUAGGGGCAGAGGGAAUUCCCGGUGUAGCGGUGAAAUGCGUAGAUAUCGGGAAGAACACCAGUGGCGAAGGCGCUCUGCUGGGCCAUAACUGACGCUCAUGGACGAAAGCCAGGGGAGCGAAAGGGAUUAGAUACCCCUGUAGUC
rnacentral:rRNA from 1 species